rnacentral:rRNA from 1 species
UACAGAGGGGGCAAGCGUUAUUCGGAAUUAUUGGGCGUAAAGGGCGCGUAGGCGGUCCUUUAAGUCUGAUGUGAAAGCCCACGGCUCAACCGUGGAGGGUCAUUGGAAACUGGGGGACUUGAGUGCAGAAGAGGAAAGCGGAAUUCCACGUGUAGCGGUGAAAUGCGUAGAGAUGUGGAGGAACACCAGUGGCGAAGGCGGCUUUCUGGUCUGUAACUGACGCUGAGGCGCGAAAGCGUGGGGAGCAAACAGG